UUCUGUAAUAACAGAGAAAAUAGUGGUUUAAUAUUAAAACAUACUACACAUACAUCAUCAUACGUACACGCACACACACACUUUAACACAAACGCAUACUUAAGUGCGCCCUCGCACACACACACAUACACACGCACACACACUUUACAACACACACCAUACAUACUUUAACAUAUGUUAAUAGUAGGUCUCCUACUUAAUCAAAUAUACAUUUUAUUCGUUUACAAGAAAGUAUUACCUUGUAUGCUGCUUGUCUUCUUUUGUUCAAUGUGUACAAUGUUAACAAUAAGUGUGAUCUUUGUUUUAUUUUAAAAUGCUUGAUAACCAUAUGGUACUGAGGUCAUGCCAUCUUCUAAAAUGUAUCGUUUAUUAUCUAAAGUAUUAAAGCUACUUUAGUGUUUUUGAUCGUGUACAGGGUAUUGUUAAAUGAACGUAUUAAAUGUGGCAGAGAACGGGUUUUUUCUGAAACAGACAUUGCUUAAACAGUUCGUGACGCAGUGACUUUUUAACAAAACUCUGUUUGAUACCCUUUGCUUUUUUGUGUUCGAUUUUAGAAUUUGUAUUUUUAUCGAUGAUGGUAAAACUAAUUUUUAGCCCUAAGUCCCACGAACUCGUCAAUGACUGCACCGCCAGCUUCGUCUUUCAUCAGUCCUGUCACCUUGUGCCUUACCAUAGAAAAUAAUGGAUGGUCUGGGGAAAAGUUGGACGUGUCAAACAAGUGACUGUUUCGUUGCAUGAACUCGUAUGGGUCUAACAAAUGUUUACCCGGAGCUUCCCUGAUUUCCAUGAACAAACUGUCAGUGCCAGUCAUGAUUAGUCGCACGCGGUCGUUGUACUGUUUCACCAUGGUUUUAUAAUAAAAAGACAGAAUGUGACGGUUAGCGUGUUCUAAAAUACAAAAUCCUACUGCAAUGGGUUUGUUUAAGGUAACCAUAGUUCUUUGCAUUUCAACUGCCACUAAGUCUUCCGAAAAAAUAUUUACGUGUUUGAAAUUUGUUUUUGCAGAGUAUCGUCUUAGUCGUUCUCGUUGUGCAACCAAUUCGACUUGUUUGUAUUUUUUGACCGACUCUAUGAAUUUUCCAUAACGCACAUUUGACAUUGCUUUGUACAAAUCUUGUGAACAUUUGUCUCUAGCAUGCUUGCGUUUUUCUAUGUUCCGAGUUAAAAAAGGUUUCAUCCACUUUGAUUGCUUGAAUUUUAAAACUUUGUGAAUGCAUUUCAACUCCAAACCGAGUUUUAAAUAUAACUUUAGAGUUGCAAAAUGAAUGACGUAGUUGCUUUUAUUUUUUAAAGUACACAUUUUUUUUUGCCUGAUGGUUUAUUUAAAUUUAGACCGAAUUGUUCAAGUAACUGUUUACAGUAUGGUGAAAACUCGUCUUCGAGUAUGUUAUCGUGAAAAGGUGCAAGGGGAAAAGAGACGUGUUUUGCGUGAAGAUCUCUUGGAUAUUCCAGAUCGACUUCUAAAAUGUACCCUAACUCACCCUCGGUGUCCAAAGUCGUCCAUUCGAUAUCAAUAAACUCGAUGAGAUGAACUCGUAGUCAUAGAGAGCAAGUGGUUCUAACAUAGUGGUUGCAUACAGUGAAUUAGCAUCGAAGUGCAUGAGGUAGCACGUAUCUUUUUGUGGGUCAAAAUCACUCAUAUAUUUAUUACUUGCUUUGGAAUAUCUGUGCGAAAUCAUCGACACCCCACCCCGUAAACCUUUCUCAAUGAAACCGUACAUGUCCGGGUCUGUGAACAGAUCGAGUUCAACAUCGGUCAUUUUUAAAGCAGCAUCUAAAGCAAAACCCGGGAGACUUUUGUAAUGUAACGGAUCUAGUUCGUAACUUUUAAGACACAUGUCCCUAAAUGAUUCCAUGACAUCACACAAUAAGAGUACAUCGACAGACACAUAAAGUCUCAUGAAUUCCUCUAGUGUUUUGAUAUUAAAUUCCUUCCAAAGUUGUUCUGCAAAGGUGUAUUCUUCGUUAGAAAUGUUACUUUCCGCGAGAUGUGAAUAAAAGUCUUUGUGACUGGGUAACUGUAUGUCAUUUAAUUUAUCGAAUGAAUCCAUGUAUUCAUAACAGAAAGGAAGUAUACGGGUUAACAUGUCUACGUGAUCGGGAAAAUGUUUACUUAAAUGUACAAAACAUUGCUUUCCUUUGCUCAUGAGAUUUUUUUGUCAGUGAAUUGAGAGAUGAUGUUAGGAAUUUAAAAGAGUCGACGAAGAUUAAAUCGUCAAUGGAGAAAGACAAAAACUGUUCUGUAUUAUGCGGAAUGCAGCUGAGUUUUCUGUCUGCAAAUCUAGUAGAUGCUUGUAGAAUUAAAUGCGUGUCAUACCGUUCGCUGUUAUGAAGCACACAUAUCACUUCUUUUUCCAGUUUGAAAUUUAAAUUACAUUAACCAUGACAGAUCCCCCCCCCCCCCCCUCCCCCAAACUUUCCCGUGAGGUGACAGUGGUCGACGUGCCUACUGUAAUCUAACUAUUCACCGCACAGAUAACAUCAUUUUGUUUUUGAAGUAUGGUUCUACAAACGUCUGUUCACCUUCUGUGGUUACUUUUGACAUUUUAAUUUGUACACAAAUACCCCAUUUUAUCGAUAAUUUUUCUCUUAGUUCUGAUUGAAUAUCACGAAUAAUGUCACGACGACGUGCGACUAGAAAUCUCAUCAAGUCCGACCUAUCUUGCUCAGUACUGACAUAGUCAAAUUCUCUCACGUCACCACCCAGAGCUUGUCUAUUACAACCUCUGUUUGGAGAAAGUGGCUCGUCAGGAAUCUGAUCAGCUUCUGGUUGUGGGGAAGGGGCUUGUGCAGCUAUGAGAUUAAUCUGGGGAAAUAACAACGGGCGUUGUAUCAGGGUUACGACUAAUGGUGGCCGAUGGUUUCCGUCGCUUGUUAUGGGGUUGAACACCGACAGUCUGGGAAGCUGUAGUACUGACUGACGGAGCUGGCUUUGCUCGUUUGGUACAUCACUUUCCACACACACACAACACACACACACACACACACACACACACACACACACACACACACACACACACACACACACCCGAUUGUGUGCGACAUACUUUAAAAUGUCGUUUUAACAUAUGCACAUUGACAAAGUCUAUCAGACAUAAUGAACACUGAAAUGUUCUUUGUGGUUUAUGAUUUCGAGAGUUGUGUAUUGCAAGAUCUCUAAAUGUUGAAAAAAUGCCCUGACACUGAUUACACGAAUACGUUUGAGGUCUACUGAUGCAUGCUAAAACGUGAUUUUCGAGCUUGGUUCGGUUUGAACAUUGAUACGAACAGUUUAAACAUUUUAAAGUAUGUUCAUGAAACUGUUUAACAUGUCUGUGAUAGUUAUCGUUUCUGGUAAAAUGUUCACCACACAGUUCACAUAUGAAAAUGUGUGACUGAUUGAAACAAUUCCUUUUAUGUCUAAGAAGAUCAGAAUGUUUGAGAAAAGCGGCUCUGACAAACAUCACUGGAAAAUAUUCUACAUGUCGUGUGAGAGGACAUUUUUAAGGUCAAAAGUAUUGUUUAUUACUGAUUACAUAUAUAAACUAUUUAUUCUUGAUUACAUAUUUAAAUUAUAUUUUCUGGAUUACAUAUUAAACUAACUACUCUUGAUUACAUUUGGUUUAAAAUUUUAAUCAUAUUUUAUGUUAACAUGUUGCACAUGAACACUUUCAGUAACCUGCAAAUAAAUAAUAAUAAUCUUUUAACUAAGCUAUUUUAGAAAUGUUUAGUGAAUAAACCAUAUUUUCAAGUUAUAACAACUAAACUAUUUUAAUAAAUUUCGGUAAUGUUAUCACAAAAUAUAAUUCAAUUUAUUUCUAAAGUUAUAUGUUAAACAUCUAAAUAUUUAAAACUGAUUAAAUUCAUGUUUAUCUGUGUGGUUAGCUUUGAAAUAUAUUAAGUUCUUCGUUGUGAAAAAAGGUUAGCUAAAACUUACCUUCUAUAUAAUAUAGAUUCGGGAGUAAGGAAGAUUUUGCAGCAGCGGUGUCAACCAAAAGUGUGUCUGUUACUUGUAGACGCAGUGGUAUUUAAAAGAAAACAUGCAUUUCCCGCGAUUUUCAUUUCUUCACUUAGACAACCAAUUGUAAACUGUUUAAUUAUAACAAUGAUGUCAGCAUAACUAUCAAAACCGUUUAUAGAACUAUUAAAACCGGUUGAGCAACUAUUAAAAGCAUACAAUCACUAACUGUUUAAUGGAGUGAUGUCAGUGCAUCCACCCUCAUUGCUUUACAAAACUAUCGACAACACCCAAAUUAACUUAAUAAGCAUGCUUUCUCUCUCGCAACAUUAUUGCUAAUGUAAUACUGAAAUUAUGUGUUUUAACCUGUAUAUUUUUAACGAAAGUUGUACAUACGCAUUUAUUUCUUCCAAUGUACAUUUUUAAAAUAGUAUUACAACGUAAGAUAAGUAACAAUAAUUUUCAUCCAUGUUAUGCUGCGCUACACUCUAUGUUAAGGUUGAUAAAUAUCCUGUUAUGAGUAAGCCGUGUAGUGUCUUGUUUCUGCUCUAGAACAUAUUAUUCUAUAUUUUAUUAAAUAGUUUAAACGUUGCACUAACAACUAUUCUUCGAAUUUCACUUAAAACAUUAACAAUGUAGAUUGUUUUUAUUUUCAAAUAAUCGUUUGCAAAACAAAUAUGUUAAAACUGAAUACUACAAAUAUAUUUUAAAAUAAAGUUAUGUAGGUAGGGUAAUGUACUCUGCGUUUCUAGGUUAACACUUUCUAAAAAGUAUUUCAAUCCUUUAAAGUACAAACAUAAAUCGAACAGAAAUGUAGCAAAUAGUCACACUCGGUGGACUAAACUGAAUACGUUUAUUAUUAUUAAGUAUUAGUUUUACCCAAGACCAUCAUCACAGGUGUCACCUGUUAUUUCUAUAGUUAAAUAGAAGCUUUUCAAUUAAAGUCGACUCAAAGUCUGGUGUUUCAAUGGCAACGUCUUAAAAUAGUCUUGGAAGGUUGAAGAACCAAAAUAUGUUUUUCAAUUGGCAAUUAAGUAUUUAACCCAAAAAAGUAUUUUGAAAAGAAAGUGGAAUUUCUAAUUUCAAAGAAACAUCUCCCAUCAUUUGAAAUUAAAGAUGUAGUUGCCAGCUAUGAUUUUCUAUAGUCAAUAGAAACUUUAUCAUGAUCCAGCACUUUUUAAUGUUGGUUAAUAGCUUGCUAUUUCUAGUCAAUAGGAGGAAAAAUACCAAGUCACUAAAUCGUGGUAACCGGGUUACAGAUGUUCUGUUGGUUAAUAGUAACCUACCAAUCGUUUUAGACCUUCUACGUUAUUGUUAUACGGUUCCAUAAAAGUGGAAACGCAACAGUUUGUAUCACUCUGCGCAGAAUAUUCUUUUGAAAACAUAUAAAAUUGAAGUAACAUAUUUAAAAAAAUUAAUCAGUGUAAAAAAAAAAAAAAAAAACGAUUUACAAGGACUAUGCGAUGGUCAAAAUAUGGGACGUGAAUAAUUAAGUAUAUAUUCACAUAAACAAAAUUACAAAGUCAGGCAUAAAGCACCUGUCUUUUUCAGCACCUGCGUUCUGUGCUCUGAUGGAACACAGAGAGGAAAUUCUUGCAGCUAUCAAUCAGCUGUGCAGAAAAAGAGCGAGUUCCACUCCAUUCCACACGGCGGUUCCAACCGUAUGUUGGAACUGGGCUAGGAGUCCCACAACCACUCGAAUAGGCACGUGGUGUGCACACAGUUGGAAGAGGUCGUGGAGCGAACCUGCUGGCGGCCCUACAACACCAGCAGCAGCAGCAACAGUCACAGCAACCGUCGCAGCAACAUCCACAGCAACAUCCAGAGCAACAUCCACCGCAACAAAACAUAUAUAUAGACAUUUCGCCAGCACCAAGUGUAACAUUUAUUGAAUGACUUUUAAACAAUUAGAAUGUAGUAGAAGUUCUUAGUAAUAAAUAAUUAAGUAUUAUUGUGUCUUAUUGUUAAUUUAGCUACAAAUAUUUAAAUCUGAAUAUUUAUUACAACUAUCUUCUUAGACCGAAUCAGAGAGAUUAACAUGAACAUCUGUCCUGGACACAGGUGACGAGCUCAACCGGCUCCUCUGUCCAGGACACUAUAUUGCAAAUUAAGAAAUUGUCUCCCCUUGACCAUCAAGAAAAUUAUUUCUUGUUUGAUUAUCUACUACUGUGAUUUCAUAUUGGAUUACCUAUUAAGUCUUUCAUGUUGGAUGUACCUUCUGUGGAAUAGGAAAGUUUCUUCUGUGGAAUAGGAAAGUUUCUUCAUUUUUGGAUAUAAUAUAUUCUGUGGAAAUUACCUACACUGGAUUACUAAACCUACAUAGUGUGCAGAAUAUGUACCCUGCAAACACCUCUCUCUCUCUCUCUCUCUCUCUCUCUCUCUCUCUCUCUCUCUCUCUCUCUCUCUCUCUCUCUCUCU